GCAGCCCGAGCCGAACAAGCUUGAUUUUUCUUUAAAUCAAUCGGUUUCGAGUUGCGAUGUUGUGUUUGCAAACUCGUAUUUCGAGUAAGGUAGAUCCUCUACCAACCGUUCUGUCUCAUUACUAUGAUUCAGAACAAUGUACUUCCUGUAUUUAUUUUGACCUGUCUGUCAAAUCUUACACCGCCUCAUUAGGCGGUGUUUUUUUAU
rnacentral:other from 1 species